GGAUCAAAAUUGAAGGCCUCUAGUGAUCGAUGAAGAAAAUCCCAUUCAAUAGAGUCAAAGGCUUCUUCAAAAUCUUAAAACAGAAGAACACCAGAUCACGGGUAUGAUCACGUGGAUGUUUUGGAAAUUGUCAUUGGCUGGUAAAGGGAAACCACUGGCUUGCCCGAUUGCGGUCUCAAGAGAAGCCCGAAACAUCAUUUUGAUUUCCCUGACCAGUUCUUUGAUUUUGGACGAUGGAUUAACCUUGGAUCCAUGCUUUGACGAUGAUAUAGAUAACGAUGUGAACUCACUCUAUGUAGAAAUAAUUGACAAGAAUCGAACGUACUACAAAUCCACGAUUUGUGGCCAAAAGUUGUUGAGGAAACAAAGACUCGAAACCCACUUGAGUUGUGUUUACGGCAAAAGCAUAUCUGUGGAGAUGAGACAUUUUGCAUCACAAUAAAAACCUUUAUGAUCAUGGAAUCCACGAGGCCUUAAAGAUGACACAAUUUAUCAGUGAAUAAUAGAUGAUUUUGGGGGCGCUUGUCUGUGAUUUCUUUGAAGAUCAACCUUUGGAACCAUUUAAAAAGGGUUUAACCGGAUUCAAUGCUCGUAAAAUGGAUGCAAGCUGUUUUGAAAACCUUAAAAGCGGCUGAGGAGGCCCGUGGAAGGGUAACAUGUCCUAUUUCUCCAUAUGUCAAUUGAAGGGAGAAUCGUCUGUAAAACUGAUUAAAAAUAACUCUUAAGACGUUCCAGCUUUAAGCUUCCUGCGGAAGACGCCUCGUGCCAUCACACGGAGGCUGAUGACGUCGCCUUUCAGUAAAUGAAAAAGCUAAAGAUGGAGCCUACCGCGUGAUCAGCUAGGUCUCUAUGGACGGAAGAAAAACAAUUUAAUGCCCUCUCUGGCAGACAUUGUUCCUGCGCAGCUAAAAAUACAAUUUGAAUUGUAAAUUGGCGAGUUGUGGUGGUUUUGUUAUAGAGGAGACACAUAUAAAUAAAUCGAGUGAACCUGCC
rnacentral:lncRNA from 1 species